rnacentral:rRNA from 1 species
GACGUAGGUGGCGAACGUUAUCCGGAAUUACUGGGCGUAAAGGGCGCGUAGGCGGCCUGCUAAGUCGGAUGUGAAAUCCCUCGGCUCAACCGAGGAACUGCAUCCGAUACUGGCGGGCUUGAAUCCGGGAGAGGGAUGUGGAAUUCCAGGUGUAGCGGUGAAAUGCGUAGAUAUCUGGAGGAACACCGGUGGCGAAGGCGGCAUCCUGGACCGGUAUUGACGCUGAGGCGCGAAAGCUAGGGGAGCAAACGGG